CAGUGUGACUCGUCACACUAUCAUUAACUGAAUCCAUAGGUUAAUGAGGCGAACCGGGGGAACUGAAACAUCUAAGUACCCCGAGGAAAAGAAAUCAACCGAGAUUCCCCCAGUAGCGGCGAGCGAACGGGGAGGAGCCCAGAGCCUGAAUCAGCAUGUGUGUUAGUGGAAGCGUCUGGAAAGGCGCGCGAUACAGGGUGACAGCCCCGUACACAAAAGCGCAUGUGCUGUGAGCUCGAUGAGUAGGGCGGGACACGUGGUAUCCUGUCUGAAUAUGGGGGGACCAUCCUCCAAGGCUAAAUACUCCUGACUGACCGAUAGUGAACCAGUACCGUGAGGGAAAGGCGAAAAGAACCCCGGCGAGGGGAGUGAAAAAGAACCUGAAACCGUGUACGUACAAGCAGUGGG
rnacentral:rRNA from 1 species